rnacentral:rRNA from 1 species
AACAGGGAAGCUUGCUUCCGCUGACGACCGGCGCACGGGUGCGUAACGCGUAUGCAACCUACCUCUUACAGGGGAAUAGCCCGAAGAAAUUCGGAUUAAUACCCCAUAGUAUUACAGAUUCGCAUGAUGAAGUAAUUAAAGAUUUAUCGGUAAGAGAUGGGCAUGCGUCUGAUUAGAUUGUUGGUGAGGUAACGGCUCACCAAGUCGACGAUCAGUAGGGGUUCUGAGAGGAAGAUCCCCCACACUGGCACUGAGAUACGGGCCAGACUCCUACGGGAGGCAGCAGUAGGGAAUAUUGGUCAAUGGAGGCAACUCUGAACCAGCCAUGCCGCGUGUAGGAAGAAUGCCUUCUGGGUUGUAAACUACUUUUAUAUAGGAAGAAAACGCCAUGCGUGGUAAUAUGACGGUACUAUAUGAAUAAGCACCGGCUAACUCCGUGCCAGCAGCCGCGGUAAUACGGGGGGUGCAAGCGUUGUCCGGAUUUAUUGGGUUUAAAGGGUGCGUAGGCGGUUUAUUAAGUCGGAGUUGAAAUCCCACAGCUUAACUGUGGAACUGGCUCCGAUACUGGUUAACUUGAGUAUGGUUGAGGUAGGCGGAAUUUAAGAUGUAGCGGUGAAAUGCAUAGAUAUCUUAA